ensembl:lncRNA
CACUUACCCACAUAUGACAUUGCCCUUUUUUUGCUAGUGCCAACUGAAUUGUGGCUCCUUGAGGGCAAAGUCAGGUCUUAGCUGUCUUAUAAGAUAGUACUCAGCAAAGUAUCCUGUCAGAUGUCGAGAAUCCAAAGGGGGACCUCGGGCACAUCUGUAAAUGAUCUCAGCCUCAAAUCGUUCAUCCGUAAAAUGGAAAUAAUGCUAGUUCCCUACUAGGGUGAGAGUUAAGGGAGAUUAUGAAUACAAAAGAAAUUUGCGCAGUACCAGCACAGAGAAAUGGAUUCUAAAAUGCUAAUUUUUCCAGUAAUAAUAGUUGUUAGUUAUUAAUUUAACAAUAGAUUAACAUUUUAUUUGCCAUCAUUAUAAUUAUAAUCCCUAUUAUUUGAUCAAUUCAGAAAAGAGAAAGUAAUUUAAGAGCUUGUUUUUUCUUUUGAAUUCCAGAAUUUAACUUCUUUGUCCUUUCUUUAGAUUUCAUGUGCAUUCUCUAGCUGGUCAAUUGAUGGUCAUUUGGCAGGCUUUGACAAAGUCUAUUUUGUAUGCUGGAGAUGCCUAUACCAAAUCACCUGUCAGAAAUUUUAGCAAAAGUUGUGAUCCAAUUUAUCUACUGUAUUGAUAAGCUCUUUUACUUCAUCAAAGUGGAAAAAUAACCUAAUCCAGUUAUUAGGUAACAGCCAGAUUACCUAAUAGAUCACUGAUAGGCUCCUGUAAUUUGGGAUAUCUAAGGUAACUUCAGGUACAGCUCGAUCAAGAGUCGAAUGACGUUGUGGCUCUCUUUUUCUCUUUGCAGUUGGCCUCAUCUCUUUCCUUUGCAGAUGGGCUUCUCCAUUCAGCCAGGGAAGACAUCUCCUGCAGCUCCAAUUUUACUGCUUCAGCCGAAGUCCUAUGACCUCACUGCUGUAGCUUGGGCAUUGUGGACUAAUCACUAUGCUCUCACUGGCCGCAUCUGAGUCACAUGCCCAUUCUUGUUAUUUUGUGGGCUGGGGACGGCUCCACCUGAACCACAAGGACCAAGAAUGAGGAAGUGGUGAUAUCUCAAAGGAAAAUCAGGAUGCUUUUACCAGUUGAAGGCGGAUUGGAUACCCAACAGGCCUAAACUCCAGGUGUUCACACAUCCACCUUGCUACCCAGGUAGCCAUUUAUAUUUCUACUCAGUAGCAACUUCUCUUCACUGUUUGGAAUAUGGGAAGAGUCUUAUUCAGAGUUCUUGGCCUAGCCAGGUUCUGGUUAGUGUUUGGCAUUUUGUCAAUGAAACCAGGUACAAAAAGACCUUUUCCUGAGUCUCUGUUUCCCACUCUGCCUCUUCACAGAGGCCGGGUGGGGAGGAGUCCAGGGAUUAUUAUAGCCAGGGUGGAAGAGAAGAUGACCCUGACGUGGGCUUUAGAAGCAAGAGCGUCUGAGCUCUGCUUUCCCCCACGCAGACUGCUGGGCCUGUCUCUUCCCAUUGUUCUGAGAAAGCAAGAGUUCUAUGGUUUCCAUGGCAACCACCAGCUUGGGCCAUUUAACCAGCAGUGACUUCAUUUCCCAGGUCAGGGCUGGCUGGGUCCUUGUCUCAUAUUCUGUUACACAGCCGGGGCCAUCGCCACAGCUCCGUCAGGGAGUUUCCGCCUCAGUUGAAUGCUGGUCAGACUUUCCCACCAUUGCCCACUCCACGAGCCUUCUCUGGCCUGGACCUCAUACCAUUUCUUCUUCCCAAAGACCACGAUUGCCUGAGUUUUUCCUUCAGCUUAUCUCUCCUCUCACAUGUUCUCCUCUCACACGUUGCUAUAAACAGCAAGAAGAAAUCAAGCUCACUUUCAACACUCUGCCUGGAAAUCUCCUUGGAAAUGAAGGUAAGCCCACUGCAACUCUGUGGAUGAUGGCAAUACCCCAGGAGAUGGUGAAGGAGCAAGAUGUUAGGAGCUGGAUCCCUGAAUGACUGUGUGGAGCACUGCUACUCUGCCGGCUCUGUGCCUCUCACCUCUGGACUGCUUUAGGAGAAAAACUCUAAUUUAAGGCAAUCUGUUUUAUUUGCUAAUAAAUAAACAGGUUUUUUGUUGUUGU